CCUUCGAUAGCUCAGUUGGAAGAGCGUGAGACUGUAACGGAUGCCUAUCUCAAUGUCGCUGGUUCGAUCCCGGCUCGAAGGA